AGAAAAGGUCUUUGUUGUCAAUGUCUUAGGUUAUGUAUCAUACAAUUUUGUGAUAGGAGCAUACUCAUAUUGGGGACCAAAGGCCGGUUAUAAUAUUUAUAAAAUGUAACUAUCAUUUGUGGGAUCGUUGGAAC